AUUGAACGCUGGCGGCAGGCCUAACACAUGCAAGUCGAGCGGUAGCACAGGAGAGCUUGCUCUCUGGGUGACGAGCGGCGGACGGGUGAGUAAUGUCUGGGAAACUGCCUGAUGGAGGGGGAUAACUACUGGAAACGGUAGCUAAUACCGCAUAACGUCGCAAGACCAAAGAGGGGGACCUUCGGGCCUCUUGCCAUCAGAUGUGCCCAGGAUGGGAUUAGCUAGUAGGUGGGGUAAUGGCUCACCUAGGCGACGAUCCCUAGCUGGUCUGAGAGGAUGACCAGCCACACCUGGGACUGAGACACGGCCCAGACUCCUACGGGAGGCAG
rnacentral:rRNA from 1 species